GUUACAUAAAAAAUGAUCUGUUAUUUUGUCCUGUAAGCCCAGUACCCUCCAUUUCACAUGGCUAGUCUCAACACAUUACAACUUAUUUGAUCCUCUUGCUACACCUCCUCUAGUUACACACCAAUAAAUUAAAGAAACACUCCAAACACCAUAACCACUACAGCCCGCUGAAGUGGUUAUUGUGACAGUAGUAAAACUAGCACCUUCCAACACAGUAAGUAGUCAAAAAUGUUAAUGUUUUUGACAACUUACCUGGGUACCCUAGGCACCUAGGCUGCAUCUGGCCUUCUUCAGGAGAAGCUGGAUGUCUGUUGAAUUACAGGACCAUGGUGAUUGGCUGAAAGCAAUAAGCGCAGUCCAACAUAGCUCGGUAUAGCUUACUGGAUUCUCUUGCAGGAGAAAACUGGAAGUGGACUGAGGCCGAUGGUGCCCAGAGAGACUCUGGUAAGUUGUCAAACUGCAGAAAAACUGUCUGACUACUUAUCAUGAGAUUUCCCAUGGCACUUCUAACAUAACGCUUUAAUGAUUAUGGUUAUGGAGUGUUCCUUUAAAUAAGCAUUAAACAAUGUCAUGACAUUUUUGUCUCCUCCCUUGUGUAGAAGUCACUCAAAUUCUUCGAUCAAUGAGUUUGUCCAUGCUGAGCAUAUGGUACAAACCCUUUCUUUGGGCAUUUAAUUGUUAAAUCACCUAUGGCUUUAUGUGAAAAAAAAGUGAAAUACAAGAUUGAGC